CUCUGUUUGAAGGUAUAAAGAGUAUAACCUGCUCACUGAUAAAAGUUUAAGAGCCGCAGUAUUUUGACUGUGCAAAGGUAGCAUAAUCGUUUGUUUUUUAAUUGGAAUCUUGUAUGAAUGGUUGGACAAGAGAAAAACUGUCUUUAUAAGAAAAAUUGAAUUUAACUUUUAGAUGAAAAGGUCUAAAUAAAUUAAAGGGACGAUAAGACCCUAUAAAGCUUAAUAUAAAAGUUAGUUAAUUAAAUUUUAUUAAAAUAAAAAUGAAUUAAUUUAAUAUAUUUUGUUGGGGCGACAGAGGUAAAAUUAUUAUUAACUACUUAAAUAAGAUUCAAAUAUAAGUGUAAUUUUAAAAGAUCCUAGUUAAAGAUUUAAAGUUUAAGUUACUUUAGGGAUAACAGCGUUAUUUUUUUUGAGAGUACUUAUCGAGAAAAAAGUUUGCGACCUCGAUGUUGAAUUAAAAUAUCUUUAUAAUUGCAGAAGUUAUAAAAGAAGGUCUGUUCGACCUUUAAAUUUUUACAUGAUUUGAGUUCAGACCGGCGUGAG
rnacentral:rRNA from 1 species